rnacentral:tRNA from 1 species
UGGGCUGUAGCUCAGUGGCAGAGCACUUACCUUGCAUGUGUGAGGCACUGGGUUCGAUCCUCAGCACCACAU